ACCUACUGUGAUGGUGACGGUGCCCCCUGACCGGGGCUCAAAAGGGAAUGCGGUGCCGGACGUCCUUAACGGAUCGUUCGAAGGCCGCAGCUGCCCCCGCAACUGUAAGCGGCGAAUCUCACGUCAGAUGCCACUGGGAAUUCUCGGUCCUGGGAAGGCGGCGUUGAGGUGACGACCCGCGAGCCAGGAGACCUGCCGUCAGCCGUGGUCACACG
rnacentral:ncRNA from 19 species